ACCCUUUAAUGUUUGAUGUUCUAACGUGGACCCGUAAUCCGGGUUGCGGACAGUGUCUGGUGGGUAGUUUGACUGGGGCGGUCUCCUCCUAAAGAGUAACGGAGGAGCACGAAGGUUGGCUAAUCCUGGUCGGACAUCAGGAGGUUAGUGCAAUGGCAUAAGCCAGCUUGACUGCGAGCGUGACGGCGCGAGCAGGUGCGAAAGCAGGUCAUAGUGAUCCGGUGGUUCUGAAUGGAAGGGCCAUCGCUCAACGGAUAAAAGGUACUCCGGGGAUAACAGGCUGAUACCGCCCAAGAGUUCAUAUCGACGGCGGUGUUUGGCACCUCGAUGUCGGCUCAUCACAUCCUGGGGCUGAAGUAGGUCCCAAGGGUAUGGCUGUUCGCCAUUUAAAGUGGUACGCGAGCUGGGUUUAGAACGUCGUGAGACAGUUCGGUCCCUAUCUGCCGUGGGCGCUGGAGAACUGAGGGGGGCUGCUCCUAGUACGAGAGGACCGGAGUGGACGCAUCACUGGUGUUCGGGUUGUCAUGCC
rnacentral:rRNA from 2 species